GAUGAACGCUGGCGGCGUGCCUAAUACAUGCAAGUCGAGCGAACGGACGAGAAGCUUGCUUCUCUGAUGUUAGCGGCGGACGGGUGAGUAACACGUGGAUAACCUACCUAUAAGACUGGGAUAACUUCGGGAAACCGGAGCUAAUACCGGAUGAUAUUUUGAACCGCAUGGUUCAAAAGUGAAAGACGGUCUUGCUGUCACUUAUAGAUGGAUCCGCGCUGCAUUAGCUAGUUGGUAAGGUAACGGCUUACCAAGGCAACGAUGCAUAGCCGACCUGAGAGGGUGAUCGGCCACACUGGAACUGAGACACGGUCCAGACUCCUACGGGAGGCAGCAGUAGGGAAUCUUCCGCAAUUGGCGAAAGCCUGACGGAGCAACGCCGCGUGAGUGAUGAAGGUCUUCGGAUCGUAAAACUCUGUUAUUAGGGAAGAACAUAUGUGUAAGUAACUGUGCACAUCUUGACGGUACCUAAUCAGAAAGCCACGGCUAACUACGUG
rnacentral:rRNA from 1 species